UACGUAGGGUGCAAGCGUUAAUCGGAAUUACUGGGCGUAAAGCGUGCGCAGGCGGUUUUGUAAGUCUGUCGUGAAAGCCCCGGGCUCAACCUGGGAAUUGCGAUGGAGACUGCAAGGCUUGAAUCUGGCAGAGGGGGGUAGAAUUCCACGUGUAGCAGUGAAAUGCGUAGAGAUGUGGAGGAACACCGAUGGCGAAGGCAGCCCCUGGUGCAAGCAUGAUCGACUCAUGCACGAAAGCGUGGGGAGCAAACAGG
rnacentral:rRNA from 1 species